CUUAAAUUGAAGAGUUUGAUCAUGGCUCAGAUUGAACGCUGGCGGCAGGCCUAACACAUGCAAGUCGAGCGGAAACGAGUUAUCUGAACCUUCGGGGAA
rnacentral:rRNA from 1 species